AACAGAAGAGCAAUAUAUAUAAAAAAAAUCUGGACCGUAGGGUUAAAUUUGAUCUGACCACUCAAAAUGAAUUGGUUAUUAAUGGCACUUUUGUAAUUUUUAAUGCAUACUUUCCCCAUUCUUUCUCCUCAUUCACGAUCUGAUUUAUUUUACGGUUUGUUUCCCCUUUCUUUUUCUCUAUCUAGACUUACAUCAAACAGCUCUCUCCUCUCAUAAAUAUGGGUGCAAAUUCCUUCAAGAAAUUAGGGUUUACUUCAAGAAAUAAAGCAUUAUCGUUCUUUGAUGGAAGAAAUAUGGUAGCCAGUGUUGAAGUAUUUGACCCUCGUCGAGGGACCUGGAUGAGUGAGGCACCAAUGAACCACUCAAGGGGAUAUUCAACAGCUGUUGUAUUGAAUGAUAGGAUAUAUGCAAUUAGGGGAAUGAGAGGAAAUGAGAAUGUUCUGGAUAAGGCGCAUUCCUUUCUCUUUCUUCCUCGUUCUGCAAUAUCAAUUACUAAUAGUUCUCCUGUAAUGAGUUUUGUUUCUUGCUAGAAUUGUGGUUAAGCUUUCACUUCCUUUACCUCAACUUGCAUUAGGCUUUCCGUAUUAGGUCGAGCGAUACCAGGAAGGUCUUGGUUGGCAAGUGACAAACCUCAAGGCUGUGGGGAAAAGGUGCUUUGCUCCAACAGUAGUCGUACAGCUUGCGCAUUGAAAGGGCUAGGAGAUGUGAAAGCUAGAAUUUCAGAGGGGCUGGUUCAUUAAAGCUUACUGUAAUUUUGUUUAUAGGAGGUACAGCAUAACUGUUAAUCCACUUUUGUACAGAUUUUCUUGCAGAAUAGAGAAACGAAAUCCAGCAAUUCUCUCUGGUCUCAGCUAUGUUUUUGUAAAUUGGAGCUACAUAUGAUUAAUAUGAAUCUUCAUACACAUAUAGGGACAGAUACAUAUGAAUCAAUACAGCCAAAUAUGGUAGGCUGAUGUUCAUUAGUGUUUUUUUUAUAUAUAUACAACUCGGAACCUUAACAACAAGUAUGGAUCCAAAGUGCCUUUGGUUCUGAUGAACACAUUCAACACACAUGAUGAUACACUAAAGGAAUGCUCGCUGAACCAAGUAAAUGAAAUGAUGUUUCAUUGUGAUCAAGGCCUGAAACAUGUACAUUGGAACGCUAUAUUUGAGAUGCAACAUAUGGGAAUUGUAGAUAAAAAUUUAAGGCAGAGCUUUAUUCCUUGUCACUAUUGCUUUAAUGAGAGUAUAUGUUCAUUUCAUUCAGCUAUAUACUGCUUACUUUUAGAUUAAAAUGAUUUAGCAUGUAUGUGUAACUAGAAUAGGAAACAGGGUGGCAUUUAUUACACUAUUUCACUACUUAGGACACUAAACUUCAUUACCUUAGGACUGUCAAAUUUUUUUCUGUUAAUAUCAUGCGAUGCCUUUUAAAUCUUAUUACACUUUUCCUUCCGUCCUUCAAUCCCUACACAUGAUAAUACCUCCACUUGUACUUUAAGAUUUCUACUUUG